rnacentral:rRNA from 1 species
GAUGAACGCUGGCGGCGUGCCUAAUACAUGCAAGUCGAGCGAACAGAUGAGAAGCUUGCUUCUCUGAUGUUAGCGGCGGACGGGUGAGUAACACGUGGGUAACCUACCUAUAAGACUGGGAUAACUCCGGGAAACCGGGGCUAAUACCGGAUAAUAUUUUGAACCGCAUGGUUCAAUAGUGAAAGACGGUUUCGGCUGUCACUUAUAGAUGGACCCGCGCCGUAUUAGCUAGUUGGUAAGGUAACGGCUUACCAAGGCGACGAUACGUAGCCGACCUGAGAGGGUGAACGGCCACACUGGAACUGAGACACGGUCCAGACUCCUACGGGAGGCAGCAGUAGGGAAUCUUCCGCAAUGGGCGAAAGCCUGACGGAGCAACGCCGCGUGAGUGAUGAGGUCUUCGGAUCGUAAAACUCUGUUGUUAGGGAAGAACAAAUUUGUUAGUAACUGAACAAGUCUUGACGGUACCUAACCAGAAAGCCACGGCUAACUACGUGCCAGCAGCCGCCGUAA